UACAGAGGUCUCAAGCGUUGUUCGGAAUCACUGGGCGUAAAGGGUGUGUAGGCGGUGUGCUAAGUCAGAUGUGAAAGCCCGGGGCUCAACCUCGGAACUGCAUCCGAUACUGGCAUGCUAGAGAAUUGGAGAGGAGUCUAGAAUUCACGGUGUAGCAGUGAAAUGCGUAGAUAUCGUGAGGAAUACCAAGUGCGAAGGCAGGACUCUGGACAUUUUCUGACGCUGAGACACGAAGGCCAGGGGGAGCAAACGGG
rnacentral:rRNA from 1 species